GUGUAUGUGUCUGCUCCCGCAUCGCCACAUCGCACAUCACCGCCGCAGGAACGAAAGCGGGAAGACCAGAAAAAAACGAAAAAGAACGGACCCAAACAUACUUGAAUCAAAAAAGGAAAUAACGUGCAUUGCGUCUCAUUCUAUUCCCUCACCGCCGCGAAUCGCCCUCCGCAACUCCCAGAUAUGCUGGGCACGCCGUCGAACGCGUGCGUGCCGGUUGCUAGCGACGCACGUGAAGAUGCGAAAAGGAACUGAGAGGCGCACUACGGCAUACAUCCCUUCCCACACCCUAAGCACCCUGCCCCCUUGAAGCAACACCAGCAGGUGGCCACAAACGGGCAGCACGAUAGAUCGUCGCAGCUGCAGCGAACACACACACACACACACACACACACACACAUAUGCACACACGAAAAGGAAACACGCAUGCACUUCCUUCGCAGGGAAACGUAAGCAGUGCACAUCACCGUGAGAGAUCGCAAAGAGUCUGAGUACGCAUCGAUGCGCUGCCCCCUCCCCCCUCUCCCCCUUCUCCCGUCCCCUCCGCUUCACUGUCCUUUUCGCUUGUUCUCGUUUCUCUGCUGCUGUCUUGUCCCGCUCUCUCUCUUUUCAUUUUUUCUUUUCCGCUUCGCUGUUUCGCCUCGACGAGAUCGUCGCUGUUUGUGCGAGCAUGUGUGCGCGUGUGUGUGUGUGUGUGAGAGCGUCUCCUCCCUCUGUGCUCGAUUCGAUUCUUGCCCCCUAUCCCCGCUCCUGCUGCCUUCGCGCAUAGAAACAUCAACUCCUCCAAAGAGCCACACCCCUUGCCACCAUGAGAGCACCAAAGCCUUCGCCCUUCCUUUCUCUCGUGUGACCAACACGGGGAGGGGCGGGGACUCCACGAAAGGCGUUGUGCGCUUAUCGGUUCACGCACAAAGGGAGCGCGACGCCAGGCAACAGCGACGGGGAGACACGAAGGCACACUCCUCCACCACCAAAAUCGGUGGACAGAGUAGGGAGUGAACACUUCGGCAUUGCGUAGCGAAAGUCUUCAGCGGCAUUACAGACAACAGUGAACGAAAGAGAAGGAACCCUAUCACCGACUCCCUCCCCCAUCCUCUCCUCUCACACCACGUCCGUAUCCUCUCCAUCUUUUUUUUUCUUCGCGCUGUCUUGUCUUACCGUUGUUGGCUUCUCUGUGGCACGGCUUUUGCUAUCGCACCUUAAUCCCUCUCUGAGCCAUUUUUACGUCUCUUUGUUUUCUCUGCUUCCCUCUUCUUCGUCCCUUUCUCAUUCCGCAAGUGUAGUUCAUGCGACACACCCGCUCAUCCACCAUCAUCGCCAUAAGCACCCGCAUUUUCAAUGCACUUUCUUCGCUUCAAUUUUGUGUGUGUGUGUGUAUGUUUUCGUACCAACGAGAGAGAAACACCAACGGCCAACUGUCUCCUUUUAUGUAUUUCCUCUCUCACCAGCUACCCACUUCCCUCUCUGUUGUGCUCCCUUCAGGUUUCUUCGAGUCUACCCCCCCCCACUC
rnacentral:misc_RNA from 1 species